ACAGGCUGUACUGGAUCAUUGACCAAUUCUAGCAAAACUGGCCCUCGACCCUCUGCAUACUGAGCCAAUCCUGUCUUCUGCGUUUUACGACCCACAGAGAUCUCCAUUUGUGAUUCUCGUACUCACCCUUGUGAUCAUGGUUUCCCAACUUUUUUCAUCUCUUGCUGCCCCUGCUUUUGCUGCUUUGCUGUUCCUUUACUUCUUGUAUAGAAGAUCAAGGGAGAUCAAUGCAGCUGCAAAUGAUGGAACAGCAAGAGGCGAUUCUGGCACUCACACUCCAACAGAAGUACCUGAAAUAGAUACUUCGUCACAAUAUGACCAUGAAGUAUUCUUGAGCUUCAAUGGAAAGGAUACUCGAGAAACUUUUACUGACCACCUUUACACUAGACUUACAGAGGCGGGAAUCUGCACAUUUAAGGACGACAAAAGUCUCCGGAUUGGGGGAGAGUUUGCACCACAACUUCUCCAAGCAAUUAAGCAGUCGCAGAUCUUAAUACCUAUCUUCUCGAAAAAUUAUGCCUCUAGUCCCUGGUGUCUCGAGGAGUUAGCCGAAAUGGUCAAGUGUAAGAAAACAGGGGGACAAAAGAUCAUGCCCAUUUUUUACGACGUGGCACCUGCAGAGGUUAGGCACCAAACUGGGGGCUAUGGGGAUGCCUUUCUUUCAUAUGAAAACAAGAAGCGAUAUGAUGAAGAGACUAUGCGUGAGUGGAAGACUGCUCUCAAAGAAGUAUCAUUUCUAAAUGGAUGCGACCUGCAAAGCAUGCCCAACAGGCGAGAAGGUGAGUUCGUGAAAGCAUUCACGCAGAAGGUUUUCAAUGAGUUGAAAAAGGCUUCUCUUGUAGUAUCAGACUACUUAGUCAGUGUCGACAACCAUGUACAUGCAAUCAUGAAAAUGAUAGGUGCUAGGACAAGUGAAACACGGAUUGUAGGAAUCCACGGGAUGGGUGGCAUCGAAAAGACGACUACGGCCAAAAUCGUCUAUAAUCAGCUUUCGAAAGAUUUCAGUGACCAUUGCUUUCUUUCCAACAUCCGUGAAAUGUCAAAAACCAAGGGCAUUGAAUUCUUGCAGAAUCAGCUCAUCUCCGACAUCCUCAAAACGAAAGAUACAAAUAUAAGAAACUCUGAUGAUGGGAUUGAGAUCAUCAAAGAUAGGUUGUCCAAUAAAAGAGUCCUCCUGCUUCUCGAUGAUGUGGAAGACGAGAAUCAUAUUGAUGCACUUGUGUGUAAUCGUGAUUGCUUAGGCAAAGGGAGCAAAAUUAUUAUUACUACCAGAAGGAUAGAUGUUCUUUGUGUUCCGGAAGUGGACUAUAAGUAUGAGCUUACGGGCAUGAAUCCCGAUCAAUCUCUUCAACUUUUCAGCAAACAUGCCUUCAGAAGAUGUUCCCCUUUAGACGAGUAUAUCGACCAAUCCAACAGGGCGAUAGAUAUUGCUGGGGGUCUUCCGCUUGCUCUUGAGGUCAUAGGUUCACUUUUAUGUCGCACUAAAAAGGAAAUGUGGGAUGCCACAUUGAAGAUGCUAGAAAGUGUUCCUCAUGAUAAAAUUCAAAGUAAGCUAAAAGUAAGCUAUGAUGCAUUAAAUUUUCGGCAACAACAUAUGUUCCUCGAUAUAGCUUGUCUUUUCGUUGGAUAUGACAAAGACAAUCUGGUUCAUUUUUGGAGUGAAUCUGAUUUUUUCCCAGAAGUAGCCAUGGAAGUUUUGCGGAACAUGUCUUUGAUAAAGAUUAGUGAGGAUAAUGAAGUAUGGAUGCACGAUCAACUCGUAGACCUCGGAAGAGAAAUGGUUCGUCAAAAAGGUGGCACCAAAGUAGAGAAGCAAAGUAGGGUGUGGGAUCCUAAGGUAGGAUCGGAUUUGCUGAGGAAACAUAAGGGAAAAAAAGAAGCGGAAGCUCUUCGUCUAGACUUGGACUGUCAGAAGCAGUAUCAUUUUACCUAUGAGGACUUUGAAUGCAUACCAGAUCUAAGGUUCCUUCAAGUGCGCGGUUCGAGGGAAAAUUUUCAUGCAGAAAAGGGCUUCUUUGGCGCGAAUCGACAUCAAAUGUUCUUCCAACUAGUGAGCAUUCAAAUCUCCUCCCAAAAUUACGAUGGAUUUCAUGGCCUGGUAUCCCCCUGAUACUUAACAUUACAAAUUUCUCCAUGGAAGAUGUGGUUAUUCUUAAUCUAUCUAAGAGUGAAAUUACGGAUGAUUGGAAGGGGUGGAGCCACAUGAAGGUAAUGAGGAAUUUGAAAGUUCUAAAUCUGUCCCACUGUCGGAAUCUUCAAAGGCUGCCAGACGAGUUGGGUAGAAAUCUUGCAAGCCUUGAAUGCUUAAAUCUAGGAGGGUGCAGAUUGCUGAAGAGGCUUCCGAAUUCAAUCGGAGAUUUGCGGUCGCCGAUUGAGUUGGAUAUAUCCG